AGCUAUGAGUAUGUCACUGAUGAGAAGAUAGAUAUCCUUAUGACUACUCGAAAUUGAUCACGCUCAGUACUCUUGUUCCUAACAAGCACUUACAUUUUUACUUCGAUGUCUCCACAUCAUAGAUUCAAGACUCAUCUAUCUGAAGAAAGCGAUCAUGCACCAAUCUUUUCGGAUCAAUUACCAUCCUUCGUGAUGAUACUACG
rnacentral:lncRNA from 1 species